rnacentral:misc_RNA from 1 species
AAGUCGUAACAAGGUUUCCGUAGGUGAACCUGCGGAAGGAUCAUUACCGAGUCGGGGUCCCCCCGGGGGCCCAAACUCCACCCUUUGUUGUCGCAAAUCUUGUUGCUUUGGUGCGGCCCACCUUCGAGAGAAGGUGACCCGGGUCCCGGCCCGGGCAGCGCCCACCAGAGGAUUGAGGGGAAACACUUGAAUGAACAAUGCAGUCUGUAAAAACUUGAGAAAUCAAACAAAA